UACGUAGGUGGCAAGCGUUGUCCGGAUUUACUGGGCGUAAAGAGCGCGCAGGCGGUCGGAUAAGUCGAAUGUGAAAGCCCCCGGCUCAACUGGGGAGGGUCAUUCGAUACUGUUCGACUCGAAGGCAGGAGAGGGAAGUGGAAUUCCCGGUGUAGUGGUGAAAUGCGUAGAUAUCGGGAGGAACACCAGUGGCGAAGGCGACUUCAUCGUGCCUGUUCUUGACGCUGAGGCGCGAAAGCAUGGGGAGCGAACAGG
rnacentral:rRNA from 1 species